rnacentral:rRNA from 1 species
UACCAGCACCCCGAGUGGUCGGGGCGAUUAUUGGGCCUAAAGCAUCCGUAGCCGGUUCUACAAGUCUUCCGUUAAAUCCACCUGCUUAACAGAUGGGCUGCGGAGGAUACUAUAGAGCUAGGAGGCGGGAGAGGCAAGCGGUACUUAGUGGGUAGGGGUAAAAUCCGUUGAUCCAGUGAAGACCACCAGUGGCGAAGGCGGCUUGCCAGAACGCACUCGACGGUGAGGGAUGAAAGCUGGGGGAGCAAACCGG